rnacentral:rRNA from 1 species
GAACUUAAAGAAUUUGGCGGUGUUUUAGUCUUUCCAGAGGAACUUGUUUUGUAAUUGAAAGUACACGAUUGGUUUUACUUUAAUUAGUUGUUUGUAUAUCGCCGUCGUAAGAAUAUUUUUAUGAGAAUUAAAAUUUUCUUGUUUUGUAAAUUGUAAAGUAAGUCAGGUCAAGGUGCAGCUUAUAUUUAAGGGGAAAUGAGUUACAAUAAAGUUAAUUAAACGGAUGUAGAAUUUAAAUGUUUUAUUGAAGGUGGAUUUGGUUGUAAAUUUAAAUAAUAAUUAUUUUGAUUUGAGCUCUAGAAUGUGUACAUAUCGCCCGUCGCUCUCAUUAAUAUGAG